AUGGAUCCCGGGCUCUUCUUCUGUGUGGCUCUUUGUCUCCUGUGGGCAGAACACAUAGAUGCUGGAGUCACCCAGAACCCAAGAAACAAAGUCACAAGGACAGGAAAGGAGGUGACUCUAAGAUGUCACCAGUCUGACAACCAUGACCACAUGUACUGGUAUCGACAGGAUCCUGGGCUGGGGCUGAGGCUGAUCCAUUACUCAGUUGGCUCUCUCAACACUGAAAAAGGAGACGUCCCCGAUGGCUACAGUGUCUCUAGACCAAAUAUAGAGAACUUUCCCCUCUCUCUGAAGUCAGCCACCCCCUCGCAGACAUCUGUGUACUUCUGUGCCAGCAGUGAGUCACAGCGCUGCAUGGCCACCUGCUCUCUGCACAUAAAGGGGAGUUAG